GAGUGACGCCCAGCUUUUUUUUGGCUUUAUCCAUUGGGACUCCUCACUUUAGGCUACUGCCUGGAGCGGACAGUGAUUUACCGGCGCAGCAACCGUCCGCACGGACCCGUUAGGAGCAGCCUUUCAGAGGCUCGAGGCUGGUCUCUAUCCGUGACGUCAGUAAGCACGAGCUAAGCAACCCAAGAACCAGAACCGAACAGAGAUGCUCUUAGCUGAGCCACCAUCUACCUGCCUUUCCUCUACAGUGUACUAUAUGGUUUGUGAAGCUGGAUUUGAGAGGAAAUCAAACUAUGCUCUCAGUAGUAUUAUAUGCAGCACCGGUGAAAUAAAUUGGGAAUUCAUCACAGAACAUGUACAAUAUGGAGAGCAAGACCCAACAUUGGAUUAUAUCAAAAGUGUGAGAUGUCUUGGUCCUUUAUGUGAAUCUAUUCACUUGCAUUUGAAAUCACUUACAGCGGAGCAAUUUGAAAACCAGUUUGUGGUGUGGCUUCAAUGGACAAACUGCCCA